GCAGAUCGGGAAGAGGGACAGUGCACGUGAGAAGAUUGAGAGUUCAGCAUCUUUAUUUAUUUAGUUAAAGUGUUGCAAGACAUCGAAUUAGAGUUAUUCUGGGUUACAAUGUGCUUACAUAUGCAGUCCUGUUAAGAUGCACCAGCUCUCUUUGUCUGUACGGUGGACAAAGCCAACGUAGCUUUCUCGUGCCUGCAAGCCUUACAGCAUCAGCUUCCUGUCAGGGUGCUCAGAUCGGCCCGUCCUCUGAUGUCUCGCUUCCAAGUGUUUGCUUUGGACUCGGUCAAAGUGUUGGAGCAGAUCACUGUAGUCUAUAUGAGGCUGAGCUGGUCGUUUCUCUUUGACAGAUGACACAUCAUCACUAGGAGGGGAAGAUUUGGUCUGUGAUUCUUCAUCAUCUUCAUCAUCCUCAGGCGUCACAAGCUUCAUCAAGCUAUGAUUACAUGCACUGGCGACCUCUUUUGUACCUGGCAUAUUAAG